UGGGGGAAUCGUUCCUCCCAGGACUAU
rnacentral:tRNA from 1 species